rnacentral:rRNA from 1 species
UACGUAGGGUGCAAGCGUUGUCCGGAAUUAUUGGGCGUAAAGAGCUCGUAGGCGGUCUGUUGCGUCGGCUGUGAAAACCCGGGGCUCAACCCCGGGACUGCGUCCGAUACUUCCGAGCUGGAGGUAGGUAGGGGAGAUCGGAAUUCCUGGUGUAGCGGUGAAAUGCGCAGAUAUCAGGAGGAACACCGGUGGCGAAGGCGGAUCUCUGGGCCUUACCUGACGCUGAGGCGCGAAAGCUAGGGGAGCGAACAGG